rnacentral:snRNA from 1 species
AGCAUCAAUAAAAUUUGUCUAUCAGCUUAAUAUCUGACAUGUAUCCAAUUGGUCUAUUGAACUUAUUUUGUAAGUGGUGUCCUAGGAGGCUUGCUUUGAGGACGCCAGGGUUGGUCCGGUAUUGCACUACUUCCGGGAGUGGCCCGUCCCCA